AUUUUUUAUUUUUGGUUGCUAUUAAAAGUUGUGUGAUCCAAUAAAUGUACCAAAUCAGAAAAAAACGGGUGCGAAUAGCAUUCUCCACGGGUAGUUACCCAACAACAUAUCGGGUUCUAGCCCCGGAAGCAACCCUGAAGCAAAGCAAACUCCCCAGAAUCUUACAGCAAAGAAGUUACCUGUAAACACGUGUAGGGACUUCGACGAUAACCUAACAAUAGCUCCGAUCAGUGAAUUAUCAUUGUUAGUUGAAAAUGAAGUUUCUUGAUUGGUACUUGAAGAUUGGGGUCGCGUCGGCUUUGGUUGGAGCUUCUAUGGAAUUUUUCAUGGUCAAAACUGGCUUCUCUUCUUGUGCAAUACUUUCUCCAUGUGAAGCUUCAAGGACAAGUUGAGAUGAUUUUGUGGUAUUUUUUGGUUUGGCAUGUGUGGGAUUAUCUGAUUCUAUUGGUGUGGAAUUUACCGGUUCUGGUGGUUCAUAAUUUACUGGUUUUACUGGUGCAAUUUCAAAGGCCGUUUCGAUCAUCCCAAAAUCUAAAAAUUGGAAUUCAGCUGUUUUGUUUAGGAUUAAGGUGUUCUCCCUCUGAAAUCUAACUUUAGAAUAAUAUGGUUGAUUUUCAAAGGUCACGUCUAUAUUGUGGUAAAAUUUUCUUGACACGGGAGAGUAACACUUGUAACCUUUUUGGUGAGGUGCGUAGCCAAGAAAAACACAUUUGAUGGAUUUUUGGGUCAAGUUUACUACGACGAGGGUUAAGAUUAUGAACAAAGGAUGAACAUCCUAAUAUUUUAACUGAGAUGGAGGUGAUAAUUUUGCUGGUUGGGAAAACGGUUUGGAGAGUGGAAUGAAGUGUCUUAAAGUUGAGGAUAUUGGAAGACUUCCUAUUAAUGAGUUUGUGCAAUUGUAGCUGUAUCACUUUUCCCUGCAUUAAGAAUAGUUUGCUGGAGCAUUUUCUGCAGCGUGUCUAUUUGUUCUUUGUUGGAAAGAAAUGAAUCAUUUUCUCUUCUACUUCUUCUGGGUUAUGUGUUCUAUUGCCUCUGAUCUCCUUGCUACGGAAUGAUUUCGCUUCUGAAUGCUUCCCAUGAAUGAUUCAACAAAUGUCCUUCGUAUGGCCAUGUUUCCUACAACGUUCACACCAUGGCUUGUUCCUUCUUGGAGCUGAGUUUGUUGCUGAUCCUUCAAUGGAUGAGGAUGAUGGGGUUCUCAACAUUAGUUUCCUCCUAAUUCUUCUCUUCUUACCUCUGAGAGAACUUCUCAGAGUUUUUGAAAUUGUUUGUUUCCAAGAACCAUUCCACGCACUUCAUCAAGAUCCUUGUUAAGUCUCAAUAGGAAUUUGUAGAUUCUAUCCUUCUUUACUAGCUCUUUGUACUUUUUCUUGUCCUCUGGACAAUUCCAUUCCACCACUUUAUAGGUAUUCAAUUACCACCAAUGCCGACUUAGGGUGUUGAAGUGGUUUGUGACAGGAAUCCCUUGUUUCAGAUCAUGGAGGAGGCUUAUAACUUCGAAGAUGACAAAUGUGUUGUCCACAUUAGAGUAUGUCUCUUUUACUGCAUCCCACAUCUUCUUGGCAUUACCAUAAUACAUGAUAUUUUCUCUAUUUUCAUUUUUCAUGGAGUUGAGGAGCCAUGACCCUACCAAAUUGUUUUUUUAUUGUUUUUCUAAUGCCACUUUUGGAGGUUGGAUUCUCAUUUCUUGGGUUCUUUUGAAUUCCAUGUGACAUAGCCAUCUUUCCCUUUUCUUUGAAGGAAGAGUCAGACAUACUGCUCCCAUUGAAGGUAGUUUUAGUCAUUCAACUUGUGGCUAGUGAUGAGAAGUGCAAUCUCUUCGAUUGAGUUGACAAGAUCUGUGUCCGUCUUUGUGUGCGUCCUUUCUGUUUUCUCUUCUUCAAUUCAACCUGUGGCUAGUGAUGAAAAGUGCAAUCCCUUUGAUUGAGUUGGCAAGAUUUGCGUCAAUCUCUGGAUGUGCCUUCUGUUUUCUCUUCAUCCAUGGUUGGAUGCCUUCUGUUUUCUCUUCAUCCAUGGUUGGAUCGAUCGAAGAGAUUAAGGAUGAUUUAGAUUCAACUCUGAUACCAUGCGUAAAAGUGAUUAUUUAUUCAUUUGAUGAAAAAAUUGAUUGCAUAAGGGAGUAUAAAAACAUAUGAUGAAAAAGUUGAUUGCAUAAGGGAGUAUAAAAACAUAUUAUUCCAUUUUCACUUUUCACAAUAGCAGAAAAUAUUACACAAUAUUCUCCCCUCACACCGGAUAAAUCAUUCAACAACUCAACGAAUAUUCAAGAUGCAUAAACUAGAAUAGAGACGGGAAUCUAUUUAACGAUUGCUUAAUGCAGAAAAAACUAAGACUAACUUAAAUAACAAAAGGGACGGCAACCUAACUAUGCUAGCUGACCCUUAACUGCCGCCUCUCAAACUAUACAACCAGGGACCUAUUUAUUAUUUCCAAACUUCUUUCUAUAAUAAGUUCUAAGACCCUUCUAGGAGGGGCAGUAAUAUCUUGCCUAACAAUACCAUCCUCUCCAAAUUCUAUCUUAUCCUCAAGGUUGAAAUCAGAGAAUUCAUUUUUAAUGGUAGUGACCAAUGUACUCAAGCAUGAGAUCUUAAGUAUGAUCGGUUUGGUUGUGAAAGAACGUAAGACUUAGAUUGUUAGCAUGACACAUAAGAUCCUGCUGAAGGGAAAAAUUGAAAUUUCAUAUAUGUUUAUACACACAUACGCAAAAAUAUGAGAAUUAUAAUUUAGGCAAAAAAAAAAAGCCCAACACGUUUUUUUCCUCAUGAUCUUGCUUCAAAAAGCUCGAUCUUGACCACACCAGCGACAACGAUCUUUCUUUGGUCAUAUGACUCUCAAGCAUCCUUAACACGUAAAAUUUUCCGAUCUUAUGAUCCAACAUUUAAUCUCGACUACAAUAGCGGUGACAUCUUACCUGUUUAACAUUUAUAUUCUAGCAGCAGCCUUGCAAUGGUUUCCUCUCUCCAUCUCCCAAUCUUACAUUGUAGGGUAGUGUUUCCUCCACCUGUAGACCCUAAUUCCACACCGAACUUCUGAAAAUGAAAUUGUGGUUGUGGCUUGCGCCACUAUCAAUUAAUACAAGAACAUACUACUCCAACACCCUUCAUAUUGUAUGGUUGGUUGAGUCAAUCCUCCUGUUGGAUACAUGGACAAGUCCAUCCUCCUACUGGAUACAUGGACAAGUCCAUCCACUUGCAAUCUGGUUCCAUCAUCUCCUCCAUUUCCUUUCCUGCAUUCUCCUUUGCUUCUGUUUUUGUGAUUUCUCCCUCAUCAUUUGAUUUCGCAUCCUAUGUCAAUAUGACUACGUCUACCCUUAUGUUCUUCUCUGCCCGAACCAUAGCCAAACCAUAACAAACACACCUUCCCUUUUCACUUUGUUUCAGAUGCUCUCUAUAAGGGAGAAUGAGAGUGCUCCUAUUUCUUGAACCAUAGUUUGUUGUGUCUCCUGGUUUAGCCCCCGAGUUCUGCACAUUUGCUCCGUUGCCAUUGGCCUCAGAGACCUCUAUUUGAAAUUUGCGUGCUGUUGGAUGCCCCAAAAGCAGCAGCAAAUGACAUAAUAUCUCCUAUUAAGCACGUUUAUUUAAAACGAUGUUCACGUCACAUGAUAUCUCCGCGACUUAAAUCAAACUUUGUGGGUUAUAAGGAUGAACUUGAUUACAAAUAUUGACGCAAUCUUGCCAAGAAAUACCCAAUCAAUUGUUCUUUGGGCAUUGAAGUUGCUUGGGCCUUCAAGAGUUCAAAUUCUUGGAAAUAAUAUUCCAUGCUCCCCUUUUGUUGUAUUGCCGUGAUGCGAGCCUCGCAUACACAAUUCCAUGUCUGACUCUUCUGUAUCUUUGCAGUGUCGUUACAAACUCCUCCCAAGAAGCAUUCUUGGAUGUUAGACACCAAAAUUGAAACCAAUGGACCACAUUCUCCUCCAUACUGAUGAAGGCUAAGCACAACCUUUAGAGAUUUUGACAUUAUGCACUUCGAAAAAUCUCAGCCCUUGCGACCCAACCUAAAUGAUUGUUUCCCUCAAAGGUGGGUAGUUUCAUCCAUUCCAACCAUGAGUGUUGCGGUUUCUCAUCAUUUUCGUCAAAUUUAUGUUCGUCCGAGUCUUCCUCGUCAUGUUUUGUUAGGUACUAGAGUAAUAUAUAUUACUCAACUAAAAUAAAGAUGAGAAACAUUAAUGUGUUCUGUUUGUAUAUUUCUCAUUAUUGUUAUUCUAUUUAUAGGUUCACGAGAAUUUAAUUCUCUUCCUUAGAAUUUCUAUGGUAGAGACUAACACCAUUUAUUAAUAAAUUUUUAUGGUGUGUGACCAUUUCCAUCACAAAUGUGAUUUUACGAUCUCACAAUCUCCCACUUAAAGUCACUUUUGUGAACAUUCCACCAUGCUACAGGAGGAAUCAGCACCAUGUAUAGAUUGACUUUGUCUUAUAUCUGCAGGUUAUCUUUGGUGAGUUUUUUGCAUAUCAACACUCCCUUGCUCUACCAUUUCUCAAACAAAAUGAUAUUGAACAUCUAUGUGUUUUUUCCUAGAAUUAAAGAUUGGAUUCCUUGCAAUGUGCAAGGCAUUUUGACUGUCACAAUACACAACAAUUUGUUGUUGACUGUGCCCAAGUUCUUCCAUUAGCUGUUGUAUCCAAAUAGCUUAUUUGCAAGCCUGCGUGGCUGCCCUAUAUUAAGCUUUUGUAGUUGAUAGAGCUACAACCGUUUGUAAUUUGGACAAUCAACUUAUUGCUCCUCCUGCAAGUGUGAACACAUAAUUAGUAGGAGAUCUUCUUUUAUCAAGAUCACUUGCAAAAUUUGAAUCAACAAAACCUUUACAAUUAUUUCGAAUCCUUUGAAACAUAAUGCAAUAUAUGAGGUCAUUUUAUAUAUCUUAGGAUUCUCUUAACAACAUUCCAAUGCUCUUUACCAAGGAUCCGCCAUAAAUCGACUAAUUGUUCCCAUUGCUUGUGCAAUGUCUGACCCUGUACAUGUCAUGACAUACAUAAGGCUAGUGGAAGAACUAAGGCACAACUAACAAUAAAUUGUUCUAUAUUCUAACAAUUAGAGUGCCUUGCACAUUGCAAGGAAUCCAACCUUUCAUUCUAGGACAAAGAGCAUGUUCAAUAUCAUUUUGUUCGAGAAAUAAUAGAUUAGGAAAAUGUUGAUAUGCAGAACCACACCAAAAAUAAUCUAGCAGAUGUUAUGACAAAGCCAAUAUACGCAGACAAAUUUACAUGAUGCCGAUCCUUCCAUGACAUGGUGGAAAGUUCACAAAAGUGACUUUAAGCAUGAGAUUGUGAGAAUGUAAAGUCACAUGAUCAAGACAUCAUAAAAACUUAUUACUAAAUAAAUGCUAUUAGUAUUUCCAGUAGGAAUUAGUAUUUACACAAUUCUCCAUCUUGUUCAUAAUUUGAAAUUUCGAAAUUUGGACGAAUAUAAAAUAAUGCUUAGCAAGUUCAACCCGUGUUAGAACUUGCUACCUGACACAACUUUGGUUAACAUGUUUGUAAAAUUUUCAUUAGUGUGUAUCUUCGUAAGAGUAAUAUGACCCUCCUCUACGACAUUCCGAACAAAACAUCUAACGUCAAUAUGUUUUUUAGGUGCAUUAGUCAAGUGAAUCACACUUUGGCUAUCACAACUCAUAUUCACACAUUCUUGCUUAAUUCCCAAAUUAUCUUGGAGACCCCAUAACCACAAUGCUUCCUUCACUCCUCUUAUUACGGGCAUGUACUCCUCCUCUGUACUAGAUAGUGCCACUGUAGUUUGUAACAUCUAUCACCAACUAACUAAUGCACUAUGUAUUUUAAAUAAAUAAUCAGUAGUAGAUCGUCGUCUAUCUAGAUCAUCAACAUAAUCAAAAUCAACAAAGUCAUUUAACUGACAUGUAUCUCCACCAAAACACAAAUAUAUGUCAAUGGUAUCCUUUAAGUACCUUAAAAUCCAUUUCACUGCUUCCCAAUGUUCCUUUAUCGGAUUUGCCAUGAAUCUACUGACAACACUAAUCUCCUGUGAAAUAUCCGGACAUGUACACACCUGGUGUACAUUAAACUGCCAACUGCAACAGCGUAAGGAACACAUUUCAUUUACGCCUUAUCUUCCACUGUAGUGGAAAAUUGUUUACUAGAUAGCUUAAAAUGUGGAGCCAAUGGAAUCCCCACUGACUUAGCAUCUUUCACCCCAAGCCUUUCAAUAACCUGUUCAAUGUAGUCUUUUGACUCGAGAACAAUUAUGGUUUGAUCUCUCUCUUCUAAUCAUCAUACCCAGUAUUUUCUUGGUAACUCGCAAGUCUUUUGUCUCAAACUCUUUACCAAGUUGAGUUUUUAACCUAACUAUCUCCACCUUGCUCUUCAAAGCAAUAAGCAUGUCAACCACAUACAAUAGAAAAAUAAAUAUAAUCACCUCCACAAAGCUUUCGAAUGUAUACACAAAUAAUCACACUUAUAAAGAAAUCUUACUUUAACAUAAAUGAGUCAAAUCGUUUGUACCAUUGCCAAGGAGAUUGCUUCAAUCCAUAGUGAUUUUCUCACAAGACAUAUCUGACUCUCUUUACCCUCAACCUUAUAUCCAUCAGGUUGAUACAUAUAGGUUUCACCAUUCAAAUCACUGUGUAAGAAGACUGUCUUCAUAUCAAGUUCUAGCUCAAGAUCACCAUGAGCAACAAGAUUUAAUAGCACUCGAAUAAAAGUAUGUUUUAUUACUCAAGUGACAAAUGUAUAUAACCACACGUGAGAAUAGUAACUGUGGAAAAAUAAUCACAGUGAAGUAGUGGUAAUGAGUCAAUGCUCUGAUAUCACUGUUAGGUACCAGAGUAAUAUGAUGAUAUUACUCAAUAUACAAACAUAAUUGUAAAUUAACUCGCAUUAAAAAAACAUGCGGUUUAUAAAACAAGGUUCAAGAAGUUAUUCUUUUAUUUCGUGCAUAUCCAGUUAUUUUGACUAUGUUCCACUUCAGCCUUCAACUUGGUUAGCAACUUCUCUUUUUUGCUGAUCAAAUUUUCCAAGGUGUUGCGCUCACUCAGCUCCGUAAACACAAAAAAAACUACUAGAAGAUUCAUAAAGAAACUACCAGCAUAACUAACAUUGAGUUAGUGAUUGCUGAGUUGGCAAGACAAUUAGCUAUUUGUACAUAUAUCAUAGCCUAAUACUGAGGAAUCCCCUUCAUUAUAUUUUUUGGAAAAGUUAUCAUGAAUUUGCACUACUUUAAACAAAGUUGGCCAAUUAACUCUACUAUUUUGCAUAUGAUAAGGAUAUUUAUAUUCAAUAAUUGUUUUCUCAAGGAUUUUGCUUGCAAUUAGCUUUACAAAGUUUGAAUUUGUUUCACUUUUCUUGCAUU